rnacentral:rRNA from 1 species
UUAACACAUGCAAGGUCGAGGGGCGAGCAGGGCAAUAGCUGCUAUGUGCUGGCGACCGGCGCACGGGUGAGUAACGCGUAUCCAACCUACCCCGCGGUCAGGGACAGCCCGGCGAAAGUCGGAUUAAUACCUGAUGCAGUCAGAAGAGGGCAUCUGAUUUUGACGAAAGAUUGAUCGCCUCGGGAUGGGGAUGCGUAGGAUUAGGCAGGCGGCGGGGUAACGGCCCACCGCGCCGACGAUCCUUAGGGGUUCUGAGAGGAAGGUCCCCCACACUGGUACUGAGACACGGACCAGACUCCUACGGGAGGCAGCAGUGAGGAAUAUUGGUCAAUGGGCGCGAGCCUGAACCAGCCAAGUAGCGUGCAGGACGACGGCCCUAUGGGUUGUAAACUGCUUUUAUGCGGGGAUAAAGUGCGGCACGUGUGCCGUUUUGUAGGUACCGCAUGAAUAAGGACCGGCUAAUUCCGUGCCAGCCGCCGC